UGCAGACAGGCCAGGAAGGGAUACCUAUUGGUGCCAAAUAAAGGAGACGAAUACAUCCUGUUCAAACCAGAUGACUACCAGCCACCCACAGACAAGCCCGGCCUGUCUCAAACAGACAUAAUCCUCAUCAGUGUUUUCUGCUCCUUGGGUGGUGUGGCCAUUAUCGGCCUCCUUAUUGGUGGCUGGGUUUGGCAGUCGAAGAAGAAAAGGAAAGUGAGCAGGCCAACGACUGAAGUGAACGGAGACCACGGAGCGAGCAUUGAAUUUGAUUAAACCCAACAAGUCCAACCGACGAACGAGCCUAGCACUGACGGCCAAGAAUCCAAAGAAGACGGCCGAGGAAAGUGUUUUCUUGCUGGGAGGGGGGCUCUUAUACACCCUACCUCAAACCAAAUCAAGUAUACCUCAAUAUGUGCACCAAAAUGACAAGAAAUAUAUUUAAAAAAAAAAUUGACCUUCAAUUUUAACAUUCCGAAAAUUACGGCCUGCAAAUGUUUACCUCGAAACAAAACUGGUCUGAAGCUGCGCCUUUUCUUUUGACUAUAAACUUAGUAUUGUGCAAGUGUUAGUUUUAAAUCAGAAAAUUUAGCAAUACAGAAGUUCAAAUUACUUACAUGUACUUUGAUAGAAAACAAGUUCCAGUUGAGUUUUAGUCAUUUCCUUGUUCCUAUGGAUAUCUGUGUGA